rnacentral:tRNA from 1 species
GGGGUUGUGGCUCAGUGGUGGAGCGCUCGUCUAGCACGUGUGAGGCCCUGGGUUCAAUUCUCAGUACCA